UAUAUGCCACAGGGGAGCGAAAGCUGAGAAAGGUUAAGACCUGACCCUCAAUACCUGAUCUGGGUAAUACCAGCGAAGGGAGUGAUUCACGUUUUGAU
rnacentral:ncRNA from 2 species